rnacentral:rRNA from 1 species
GCAGUCGAGCGAACAGAUGAGAAGCUUGCUUCUCUGAUGUUAGCGGCGGACGGGUGAGUAACACGUGGGUAACCUACCUAUAAGACUGGGAUAACUCCGGGAAACCGGGGCUAAUACCGGAUAAUAUUUUGAACCGCAUGGUUCAAUAGUGAAAGACGGUUUCGGCUGUCACUUAUAGAUGGACCCGCGCCGUAUUAGCUAGUUGGUAAGGUAACGGCUUACCAAGGCGACGAUACGUAGCCGACCUGAGAGGGUGAUCGGCCACACUGGAACUGAGACACGGUCCAGACUCCUACGGGAGGCAGCAGUAGGGAAUCUUCCGCAAUGGGCGAAAGCCUGACGGAGCAACGCCGCGUGAGUGAUGAAGGUCUUCGGAUCGUAAAACUCUGUUGUUAGGGAAGAACAAAUUUGUUAGUAACUGAACAAGUCUUGACGGUACCUAACCAGAAAGCCACGGCUAACUACGUGCCAGCAGCCGCGGUAAUACGUAGGUGGCAAGCGUUAUCCGGAAUUAUUGGGCGUAAAGCGCGCGUAGGCGGUUUCUUAAGUCUGAUGUGAAAGCCCACGGCUCAACCGUGGAGGGUCAUUGGAAACUGGGAAACUUGAGUGCAGAAGAGGAGAGUGGAAUUCCAUGUGUAGCGGUGAAAUGCGCAGAGAUAUGGAGGAACACCAGUGGCGAAGGCGGCUCUCUGGUCUGUAACUGACGCUGAUGUGCGAAAGCGUGGGGAUCAAACAGGAUUAGAUACCCUGGUAGUCCACGCCGUAAACGAUGAGUGCUAAGUGUUAGGGGGUUUCCGCCCCUUAGUGCUGCAGCUAACGCAUUAAGCACUCCGCCUGGGGAGUACGACCGCAAGGUUGAAACUCAAAGGAAUUGACGGGGACCCGCACAAGCGGUGGAGCAUGUGGUUUAAUUCGAAGCAACGCGAAGAACCUUACCAAAUCUUGACAUCCUUUGACCGCUCUAGAGAUAGAGUCUUCCCCUUCGGGGGACAAAGUGACAGGUGGUGCAUGGUUGUCGUCAGCUCGUGUCGUGAGAUGUUGGGUUAAGUCCCGCAACGAGCGCAACCCUUAAGCUUAGUUGCCAUCAUUAAGUUGGGCACUCUAGGUUGACUGCCGGUGACAAACCGGAGGAAGGUGGGGAUGACGUCAAAUCAUCAUGCCCCUUAUGAUUUGGGCUACACACGUGCUACAAUGGAUAAUACAAAGGGCAGCGAAUCCGCGAGGCCAAGCAAAUCCCAUAAAAUUAUUCUCAGUUCGGAUUGUAGUCUGCAACUCGACUACAUGAAGCUGGAAUCGCUAGUAAUCGUAGAUCAGCAUGCUACGGUGAAUACGUUCCCGGGUCUUGUACACACCGCCCGUCACACCACGAGAGUUUGUAACACCCGAAGCCGGUGGAGUAACCUUUUAGGAGCUAG